rnacentral:lncRNA from 1 species
AUGCCGUCACCGACAUCGCCAGGGCCAAGCUCAGCCCUCUGGGCCCGGGGAACCUGCGCCCAAGCAGGGCCGCUUCGGGCCACCCUCGAAGCCCUUCUGGGGCCUCUCCUGGGCCCUGAUGGCUGCCCUCAUUGUCACUCUCUCGUUCUCGAUGAUGGCUGCUGGCUGCCCUUUCCUCCCCGGCUCAGGUGGAGGCAGUCGGGGUUCCGUGGCUUGUCCAGGGUCCCUGCUAGGGUUUGGGCUCGACUGGAGGGAAGAGGAGGCUGCCUGAGGCCAGGCCAGGCGCUCGAUCCUCCUGCUGCCCUUCCUUUGGAGAGGAGGGUUUCCGGGCGCCGAUCGCCACUUUUCAGGGUACACGACUGGCCCGUUUUUAGACGGAAGAGCUCGAGGAAGGGCCCGUCCCUGCAGACGUCGUCCGUGCGGGAGGCGGCGGCAGGGAGAGCGGCCGAAUGGGGCAGAGCCCGGCACCGGAGGCUGCUGAGCCAGCUUGGCGGGGCCUCUCAAACUCCGAGAAGUCCACCUUCCCCGAGCCUCGGUGGCUCCCACCUGCCUUCCUUCUCUGGAGCCUCGCCCCACGCGCAGAAAUGGGUGCCGGAGGAGGGACGCCAGAUUGGGUGCUGCUCCCUGGCUCUAGGCAUGAGUUGGCAGGCGGGGAGGCCCUCUGAGCCUGGGCUCCGUGGGGGGGCACAAGCUGGCCCUCCCUGGCCCCCCAAGAGCACCCUUCGGCUGGACCCUCGGGUCUGGGUCAUCUCAUCGUGGGAUGCUGGCAGGCUUAGGGGAGGCUGCCAUGGGGAGCUUCAGUUUGCGAUGGAGCUGCCAGAGCGAGCCGGGGGGUGGGGGGUGGGGGUGGGGGUUCUGCACCGCUUGGCAGCCCGUGGCAGGCAGGACCCGAGGCUGAGGCUUGGCCAGACAGAAUCAGUGACCGCUCGGACAGAAAAGCAGAGAAGACGCCCAGAGGCUUUCGUGGUCGCCACCUCCACCAGGAAGGCUGCUCAUAGCAGGAUGAGGAAGAAGCAGAGGGAGCGAAGGCAGGCAGAGGAGAGGCCGAGCGGCCCCGUGUCCCCGGAGAGCCCGGGGAGGCAGAUGAGAGACUGA